rnacentral:rRNA from 1 species
GAUGAACGCUGGCGGCGUGCCUAAUACAUGCAAGUCGAGCGAACGGACGAGAAGCUUGCUUCUCUGAUGUUAGCGGCGGACGGGUGAGUAACACGUGGAUAACCUACCUAUAAGACUGGGAUAACUUCGGGAAACCGGAGCUAAUACCGGAUGAUAUUUUGAACCGCAUGGUUCAAAAGUGAAAGACGGUCUUGCUGUCACUUAUAGAUGGAUCCGCGCUGCAUUAGCUAGUUGGUAAGGUAACGGCUUACCAAGGCAACGAUGCAUAGCCGACCUGAGAGGGUGAUCGGCCACACUGGAACUGAGACACGGUCCAGACUCCUACGGGAGGCAGCAGUAGGGAAUCUUCCGCAAUGGGCGAAAGCCUGACGGAGCAACGCCGCGUGAGUGAUGAAGGUCUUCGGAUCUUAAAACUCUGUUAUUAGGGAAGAACAUAUGUGUAAGUAACUGUGCACAUCUUGACGGUACCUAAUCAGAAAGCCACGGCUAACUACGGG